rnacentral:rRNA from 1 species
CACGUACUGUGCGAACGUUAUUCGGAAUCACUGGGCUUAAAGGGUGCGUAGGCGGCAGAUCAAGUCAGGUGUGAAAGACCUGAGCUCAACUGAGGUAUAGCGCUUGAAACUGAUUUGCUAGAGUAUCCCAGGGGUGUGCGGAACUGCCAGUGGAGCGGUGAAAUGUGUUGAUAUUGGCAGGAACACCGGAGGCGAAAGCGGCACACUGGGGGAUAACUGACGCUGAGGCACGAAAGCCAGGGGAGCGAACGGG